AGAGUUUGAUCCUGGCUCAGGAUGAACGCUAGCGACAGGCCUAACACAUGCAAGUCGAGGGGCAGCAUUUCUAGCUUGCUAGAAGAUGGCGACCGGCGCACGGGUGAGUAACGCGUAUGCAACCUACCUUAUACUGGGGGAUAGCCCAGAGAAAUCUGGAUUAAUACCGCAUAAUAUGUUUGAAUCGCAUGGUUUGAAUAUUAAAACUCCGGUGGUAUAAGAUGGGCAUGCGUAGCAUUAGUUAGUUGGUGAGGUAACGGCUCACCAAGACAAUGAUGCUUAGGGGGUCUGAGAGGAUAGUCCCCCACACUGGUACUGAGACACGGACCAGACUCCUACGGGAGGCAGCAGUGAGGAAUAUUGGUCAAUGGACGCAAGUCUGAACCAGCCAUGGUCGCGUGCAGGAUGACGGCCCUAUGGGUUGUAAACUGCUUUUUUACAGGAAUAAUUGUCGCUACGUGUAGUGAUUUGAAUGUACUGUAUGAAUAAGGAUCGGCUAACUCCGUGCCAGCAGCCGCGGUAAUACGGAGGAUUCGAGCGUUAUCCGGAUUUAUUGGGUUUAAAGGGUCCGUAGGCGGUUCUUUAAGUCAGUGGUGAAAUCCCAGAGCUCAACUCUGGAACUGCCAUUGAAACUGAAGAACUUGAAUAUGGUUGAGGUAGGCGGAAUACGUUAUGUAGCGGUGAAAUGCAUAGAUAUAACGUAGAACACCAAUUGCGAAGGCAGCUUACUAAGCCAUUAUUGACGCUGAUGGACGAAAGCGUGGGGAGCGAACAGGAUUAGAUACCCUGGUAGUCCACGCCGUAAACGAUGAUUACUCGUUGUGCACAAUACAUCGUGCGUGACUGAGCGAAAGCAUUAAGUAAUCCACCUGGGGAGUACGUUCGCAAGAAUGAAACUCAAAGGAAUUGACGGGGGCCCGCACAAGCGGAGGAACAUGUGGUUUAAUUCGAUGAUACGCGAGGAACCUUACCUGGACUUAAAUGUAGAUUGACCCUCUUAGAAAUAGGAGUUCUCUUCGGAGCAAUUUACAAGGUGCUGCAUGGUUGUCGUCAGCUCGUGCCGUGAGGUGUCGGGUUAAGUCCCAUAACGAGCGCAACCCCUAUCGUUAGUUGCUAGCAGGUAAUGCUGAGGACUCUAGCGAGACUGCCACCGUAAGGUGAGAGGAAGGUGGGGAUGACGUCAAAUCAGCACGGCCCUUACGUCCAGGGCUACACACGUGUUACAAUGGCCAGUACAAAGGGCAGCUACCUGGUGACAGGAUGCUAAUCUCAAAAGCUGGUCUCAGUUCGGAUCGGAGUCUGCAACUCGACUCCGUGAAGUUGGAUUCGCUAGUAAUCGUAUAUCAGCAAUGAUACGGUGAAUACGUUCCCGGGCCUUGUACACACCGCCCGUCAAGCCAUGGAAGCCGAGGGUGCCUGAAGUACGUUACCGCAAGGAGCGUCCUAGGGUAAAAUUGGUAACUGGGGCUAAGUCGUAACAAGGUAACC
rnacentral:rRNA from 1 species